AGCAUACUCUGUCACAGACAUGUUUACUUCCUUCAACUCAAGGAACUCGAUCUCCUUCUUCCCGCGAACAUCUUCCGGAAAGUAUCUUCUCAGGAACUCCCUCCUGAAAACAGCCCAAGUCACAACAGCUCCCUCCUGCCCAAGGGUAGGCAGAAGAGCAACCCACCAGUCAUCAGCUUCCUCGGCUAGCUGAUGAGUACCAAACCGCACCUUCUG
rnacentral:lncRNA from 1 species